UGGGGAAUAUUGGACAAUGGGGGAAACCCUGAUCCAGCGACGCCGCGUGGGUGAAGAAGGCCUGCGGGUUGUAAAGCCCUUUCGGUUGGGAAGAAAAGUUGCGACUUAACACGUCGCGACCUUGACGUAACCAACUAAAGAAGCACCGGCUAACUCUGUGCCAGCAGCCGCGGUAAUACAGAGGGUGCGAGCGUUAAUCGGAAUUACUGGGCGUAAAGCGCGCGUAGGCGGCUUGGCAAGUCGGGUGUGAAAUCCCCGGGCUCAACCUGGGAACUGCAUUCGAGACUGCUUUGCUAGAGUAUGGGAGAGGGAAGUGGAAUUUCCGGUGUAGCGGUGAAAUGCGUAGAUAUCGGAAGGAACAUCAGUGGCGAAAGCGACUUCCUGGACCAAUACUGACGCUCAUGUGCGAAAGCGUGGGGAGCAAACA
rnacentral:rRNA from 1 species